AAUAUUUUGAUAAAAAGAUUUAUAGUAUAUAUAAAAAUAUACUUCGGUUUUAAGAAAGUUGAAUAAGAAAUAUAUUAAAAUAUAUUUUAGUUCCAAAACCAUUAACCCAAGUGUACUAAAUAACGCCACGGUAUGUAAUGCGAUGAAAACACUUAUAUAUAAGAAGUACCAGCGGCGUAUCUACCAUGUUUUCAUCACAUUACACCCGUCCCGUUAUCUAAACACUAACCAAAAACCAGUCAUCAGUAAGUAAAUAGUAUAUUAACCAUACUUUAGUUGGUAACAUAAAUAAGUUUUCAGUAGUAUAUCAAAAGUAUACUUUGGAUUUAUAAAUAACAUAUUAAACUAUGUUUUGGUUUGAAAAUAACAUAUUAAAACUAUGCUUUGGAUUAUGAAGAUAACAUAUCAAACUAUGUUUUAAUGAUUAACAAAAUAUAUGUUGGUUUUUGUACAAUAUCCCAUAUGAGAGCAUAUCAAACUAUACUUUUGGGAGUAUAACUUAAUAUACAAAAAUAAUGUGAUUUAAGAAUUCAUUCAGACCUAGUGUAUCAAAAUACACCUUUGAGACUAUAGAAAUACCACAAAGGCAAUCCCUAUUUGGAUGGAGCAACAAAUUGGUUUCAGACAUUCCAUGACAACAGGAAUGGGGUGUCAAAUCCUAUAGCGCUAUAUCAUACUACCAACCGGUCUGGUGAACAAAAAUAAGUACUAUUCCAACAAUUAAUUUCAUAAUCUUUGAAAAAUCAGUGUUUAAACCAUAGAUAGUCAUUUAGUUUGCCAAA
rnacentral:lncRNA from 1 species